rnacentral:rRNA from 1 species
UACGUAGGGUGCAAGCGUUGUCCGGAAUUAUUGGGCGUAAAGAGCUCGUAGGCGGUCUGUCGCGUCUGCUGUGAAAACUCGGGGCUUAACCCCGGGCCUGCAGUGGGUACGGGCAGACUAGAGUGCGGUAGGGGAGACUGGAAUUCCUGGUGUAGCGGUGAAAUGCGUAGAUAUCUGGAGGAACACCGGUGGCGAAGGCGGCAUUCUGGACCGAUAUUGACGCUGAGGAGCGAAAGCCAGGGGAGCAAACGGG